CCUCAGGUGGUCCAGUCCAAAGUUUACGACCAAUCUUAUUUUCCAUCCGCUUCUUUAGUCCUCUCAGUAUCCCAAUCUCUAGUAGCUUCUCCGGUGACAUGCAGUUUGUCCAAACAGUAUGUCGUAGCUCUCAUGAACAAAUGAAUAAUACUGAUUACUGUUACAAGCAAAGAGUUCAUAUAAAUCUAACGAUAAAUUCCUUGAAAUCUUGAAUCAAUAAAGAACUGAAGACCAGCUUGUUGGUUUUGGUAUUGGUGUAUUAGGAGUGCAUAUAAUAAAAUCCACAUGAACGUCGUGAAUCGCCAGUUU